UACAGAGACGGCUAGUGGUAUUCAUGAUGACUGGGCGUAAAGGGUUUGUAGGUGGAUAAUAUAAAUAGAGCUUAGUUGUAAUGUUUACGUAUUGACGUAUAAUUUUCUUUGCACAAUAUAUCUUGAGAUAUGUAGAGGUCUAUGGAAAAUAGUGUUAAGAUCACAAAUUGCAAAUACUAUGUAACACCAAUGGCUAAUGCAGUAGACUAGGCAUAAUCUGACACUGAGAAACGAAAUUUUGGACCGCGAUAUUG
rnacentral:rRNA from 1 species